GACGAACGCUGGCGGCGUGCCUAAUACAUGCAAGUAGGACGCAGUUGCGCACGGGUGAGUAACGCGUAGGUCACUACCUAUUAGAGGGGGAUAACUAUUGGAAACGAUAGCUAAUACCGCAUACUAGUAGAUGGACCUGCUUGGUAUUAGCUAGUAGGUAGGGUAAAGGCCUAACAAGGCAAUGAUACAUAACCGACCUGGGAGGGAGAGCCGCCACACUGGGACAGGGACAAGGCCCAGAAUCCCACGGGAGGCAGCAAGAGGGGAUCUUCGGACAUGGGGGGAAAGCUGACCGAGGAACGGCGGGGGAGUGAAGGAGGUUUUCGGGUCGGAAAGGGAUGUUGUUAAGGAAGCGGUACUUAACCAGAAAGGGACGGCUAACUACGUGCCAGCAGCCGCGGUAAUAC
rnacentral:rRNA from 1 species